rnacentral:misc_RNA from 1 species
CCGCCAGACACACUAUUGGGCUUUGAGACAACAGGCCCAGCGGGACCUUCGCUCUACGGAGAAGGGGGUUGCCGGCCGUGCGUGCCCCGUUGGGGGUCAGGCGGUUGCUGUUGUCGCCCUGCUU